AGUGAGGAAUAUUGCACAAUGGGCGAAAGCCUGAUGCAGCAACGCCGCGUGGAGGAUGACGCAUUUCGGUGUGUAAACUCCUUUUAUGAGUCAAGAAAAUGACGGUAGCUCAUGAAUAAGCACCGGCUAACUCCGUGCCAGCAGCCGCGGUAAUACGGAGGGUGCAAGCGUUACUCGGAAUCACUGGGCGUAAAGGACGCGUAGGCGGGUUGGUAAGUCAGAUGUGAAAUCCUACAGCUUAACUGUAGAACUGCAUUUGAAACUACUAACCUAGAGUAUGGGAGGGGGAGAUGGAAUUAGUGGUGUAGGGGUAAAAUCCGUAGAUAUCACUAGGAAUACCGAAAGCGAAGGCGAUCUCCUGGAACAUUACUGACGCUAAGGCGUGAAAGCGUGGGGAGCAAACGGGAUUAGAUACCCCGGUAGUCCACGCCCUAAACGAUGAACACUAGUCGUCGGGAUGCUUGUCAUCUCGGUGAUGCACUUAACAGAUUAAGUGUUCCGCCUGGGGAGUACGGUCGCAAGAUUAAAACUCAAAGGAAUAGACGGGGACCCGCACAAGUGGUGGAGCAUGUGGUUUAAUUCGAAGAUACGCGAAGAACCUUACCUAGCCUUGACAUUGAUAGAACGGACCAGAGAUGGACCGGUGCCCUUCGGGGAACUUGAAAACAGGUGCUGCACGGCUGUCGUCAGCUCGUGUCGUGAGAUGUUGGGUUAAGUCCCGCAACGAGCGCAACCCUCGUCCUUAGUUGCCAGCAGGUUAUGCUGGGCACUCUAAGGAGACUGCCUUCGCAAGGAGGAGGAAGGUGAGGACGACGUCAAGUCAUCAUGGCCCUUAUGGCUAGGGCUACACACGUGCUACAAUGGGGCGUACAGAGAGUUGCGAUACCGCAAGGUGGAGCCAAUCUCAUAAAGCGUCUCUCAGUUCGGAUUGGAGUCUGCAACUCGACUCCAUGAAGCUGGAAUCACUAGUAAUCGUAGAUCAGCAAUGCUACGGUGAAUACGUUCCCGGGUCUUGUACUCACCGCCCGUCACACCAUGGGAGUUGAUUUCGCCCGAAAUUGGGAAGCUAACCUUCGGGAGGCUACCACUUACGGCGGAAUUAGCGACUGGGGUG
rnacentral:rRNA from 1 species